rnacentral:rRNA from 1 species
UUGAACGCUGGCGGAAUGCUUUACACAUGCAAGUCGAGCGGCAGCGCGGGGCAACCUGGCGGCGAGCGGCGAACGGGUGAGUAAUAUAUCGGAACGUACCCUGUCGUGGGGGAUAACACAUCGAAAGAUGUGCUAAUACCGCAUACGACCUGAGGGUGAAAGCGGGGGAUCGCAAGACCUCGCGCGAUAGGAGCGGCCGAUAUCGGAUUAGCUAGUUGGUGAGGUAAAGGCCUACCAAGGCGACGAUCCGUAGCUGGUCUGAGAGGACGACCAGCCACACUGGGACUGAGACACGGCCCAGACUCCUACGGGAGGCAGCAGUGGGGAAUUUUGGACAAUGGGCGCAAGCCUGAUCCAGCCAUGCCGCGUGAGUGAAGAAGGCCUUCGGGUUGUAAAGCUCUUUCAGACGGAAAGAAAUCGGGCGCGUGAAUAGCGUGCCUGGAUGACGGUACUGUCAGAAGAAGCACCGGCUAACUACGU